GCGGCGAGCCGGGCCGGCGGGGAGCGGCCGGAGCGAUACAAGCAGCAUCUGAAGAAAAUUUACAGCAGUUCCAAGAGGAGCAUACUGCUUCCAUAAGAAGUCAGAUGGAACUCAGAAUUAAAGACUUGGGAUCUGAACUCUCCAAGAUGCAAACUUUGGAAGAUUCUAAUAAAGCAGAGUUGGAAAAAUAUAAGCAACACUACCUAGAGAAACUAAAAGUUAGAAAGUCUUUGGAAAAGAAACUAGACAACGUGCACACAGUGUGAUGGGAAUUCCAUUUACUGUGCGGCAACUUACAAAAUGCAAGUCACUGAGGGAAGCUGGAAUGAAAUCCGUGCUUUCCAUCUUCCCCAGGACUAAUGAGAGGCUGGCAGAGAUGAGCACCAAACUUGAGGUGGAGAAACAGCAGAACAGAUCUUUACUCAGCACUCUUAGCAGCAUGCUAGUCCU